UAACCUGGUUGAUCCUGCCAGUUGUCGUAUGCUUGCUUCAAGGAUUAAGCCAUGCAAGUGUCGAGUAAAUAACUGCACAGUUGAUCUGCGUACAGCUCAUUACACCAGUCGUAAUCUACCUGCAUGAAUGACUCUGUCAUCGAGUGGAUAACUUCAGUAACUCCGAAGCCAAUACAUGGACGAGAAAUCGAGUAGCCGCUAAGCACAAAAAGUAACAUCCGAGUGUGGCUUCACGAUGCUUUUGGUCGUAAUAGAAACUGGUCAAUCAGAUUGAAUCUAUUGUGGCAUCAGACCAUUCUGUACAAGGAAACCGUUGCUUGCAACAUUCCGUGUGCGGUUGAGCGACUGACCUAUCAGCUUGUUUGCAAUGUAUUGGACUGCAGAGGCUUUGACGGGUAACGGUUAAAAAGCUCGUAGUUCGAUAAGGAUUGAUUCUGGUUCAGAUACAGUGCUUCGCAGCUUUGCUGCAAGUAUUCGUUGAGAUCCGCUUGGAAUUGGUUCUGCAAUGAGUGACUCGUACGGUGGAAGAGCUCUUCAUUGACGGGAUCAACCGUCGCCAAUCUUUUCGAUUACCAGGCUGGAACCUACUUACUUCUCCUAGCGCGAAAGCUUUAAGUUUAUGCGUUCAGGGGGGAGUACAGUUGCAAGGCUGAAACUUAAAGGAAUUGACGGAAUGACACCACAAGGCGUGGAUGCUGCGGCUUAAUUUGACUCAACACGGGGAAUCUCACCAGGUCAGGACGCAUGUUGGAUUGACAGAUUGAAAGCUCUUUCUUGAUUAUUUGUAUGGUGGUGCAUGGCCGCUCCUGGUUGGUGAAGUGAUUUGUCUGGUUGAUUCCGUUAACGAACGAGAUCUUGGCCCUUCAAUGACAGUUUGAUCGAUUGUAAUUCAGUCAACGUGCUUGCAUGCUUGUACUGGAUGAGAUCUUGUCUUGUACUCAAGGGGACAAUGCAUGUUUACAAUGCAUGGAAGUGCGAGCCAAUAGCAGGUCUGUGAUGCUCCUAGAUGGCCUGGGCUGCACGCGGCAUACAAUGGUGAAGAAAACGAGUUUGGUUUGUUUGAGCUCCUUGUGCGAAAUCAUUGGGGAAUCUGUGGAAACUUCAUCGUAUUGGGGAUCGUUGCUUGCAAUUAUUUGCCUUGAACCAGGAAUGCCUUGUAGACACAACUCAGCAAAUUGUAUCGAAUACGUCCCUGCCGUUUGUACACACCGCCCGCCGUUGCAAUCGAUCGGUUCAAUGCUAGAGGUCUUCCAGAGGUGAGUUCGAUCCUGUAUUGUCUUUGCCAAAGUUGAUCAAUAGCAUUGAACUAGAGAAUGCAAAAGUCGUAACAAGGUUGCUGUA
rnacentral:rRNA from 1 species